UACGUAGGUGGCGAGCGUUAUCCGGAAUUAUUGGGCGUAAAGAGCGCGCAGGUGGUUGAUUAAGUCUGAUGUGAAAGCCCACGGCUUAACCGUGGAGGGUCAUUGGAAACUGGUCGACUUGAGUGCAGAAGAGGGAAGUGGAAUUCCAUGUGUAGCGGUGAAAUGCGUAGAGAUAUGGAGGAACACCAGUGGCGAAGGCGGCUUCCUGGUCUGUAACUGACACUGAGGCGCGAAAGCGUGGGGAGCAAACAGGAUUAGAUACCCUGGUAGUCCACGCCGUAAACGAUGAGUGCUAAGUGUUGGGGGUCGAACCUCAGUGCUGAAGUUAACGCAUUAAGCACUCCGCCUGGGGAGUACGGUCGCAAGACUGAA
rnacentral:rRNA from 1 species